AGAGUUUGAUCAUGGCUCAGAACGAACGCUGGCGGCGUGCUUAACACAUGCAAGUCGAACGGAAUUAGGGGCUUGCUCCUAAUUUAGUGGCGCACGGGUGAGUAACGCGUGGAUAACCUACCCUGGUAUCUGGGAUAACAUCUCGAAAGGGGUGCUAAUACCGGAUAAGCCCACGGGAACUUUGGUUCUUGCRGGAAAAGGUGGCCUCUAUUUAUAAGCUACUGUAUCAGGAUGGGUCCGCGUACCAUUAGCUAGUUGGUAGUGUAAUGGACUACCAAGGCUACGAUGGUUAGCUGGUCUGAGAGGAUGAUCAGCCACACUGGAACUGAGACACGGUCCAGACUCCUACGGGAGGCAGCAGUGGGGAAUUUUGCGCAAUGGGGGAAACCCUGACGCAGCAACGCCGCGUGAGUGAUGAAGGCCUUCGGGUCGUAAAGCUCUGUCAGAGGGGAAGAAGUGUAUGGGUGCUAAUACCAUCUAUACUUGACGGUACCCUCAAAGGAAGC
rnacentral:rRNA from 1 species